GCCUUGUUCAUGGUUGGGGCAGGACGGGCUGUGGGUGGUUUCCCUGAAGUCCCCUGGCUCCCCUUCUCCUCUGGGAGAAGGAAAGGAGGGGGCAGUUGUCUCCCGCUGGGAACUUGACCCAGAGCAUGGACAUUUCCUCACUUUGUGGCAUGCAGAUGUCCAGAUCUCAAGUGGAGGAGAAAAGGAACUGAUGCUGACAGUUGGGUUUCUAAGUGAGGCUGGCUGGUGGUCAGUGUGGCAGAGGCAGGGGAAGCAGGAGGUAGAGAUCAUUGGCAUUUUCCUCAACAAAAUGACUCAUUAGACAAAAACUAGUCAACUGACCCUUUGGUUUGACAUCUUAUAGGCUCUUCUUCACCCUUCGAGUAGUCUUACUGGCAUAUAAAUAUACAGCUUUAUUCUCUAGGACUUUUUAAUAUGUUUCCCAAGCCUCCAAAAUUCCUUCAAGCAUAUUUGAGACCAUAUUUUCUUUCUUUCUUUCUUUCUUUUCUGGUGAGGAAGAUUGGCCCUGAGCUAACAUCUGUUGUCUAUCUUCCUCUUUUUGCUUGAGGAAGAUUCACCCUGAGCUAACAUCUGUGCCAGUCUUCCUCUAUUUAGUAUGUGGGACGCCUCACAGAACUGUGUGUAGGUUCAUACCCAGGAUCCAACCUGCAAACCCCAGGCCACCAAAGCAGAACAUGUGAACUAGACGACUAUGCGACCAGACCGGCCACUUCUUUCUUUUUUUGUUGUUAACUAUUUCCUUCAAAUUACAUAGAGUUCAUGAGUUCACGCUUAUUAUAGAAACAAGAGAAGAUUCAGAAAAACAAAAUGAAGAAAUAAGAAUAAGCCCAGAGGUCACCUUUGUUGACAUUUGUUACAUGUAUUUCUUUCUUUUUCUGUUUAUUGCUUGGCAAUUUUUUUUCUUUUAAUUGAGUAUAUCCUAGACAUCUUUCCUUGUUAAUAAACAUACUCCUAUACAACCAUUUUAAAGGUUGGCUGCAUUUUGUCCUAUUGUCUGGAUGGUAGUAAUUUAUUUUGCCAGUCCCUAUUAUUGGGUGAGAAAGUAGUUUCUGGUCUUCCUAUAUAACAUCCUUAUAGUUACAUGUUUGCCAACAUCUUUGAAUAUUUCUCAUAACUUCCUUAAUUUGGAAUUCUGUGUUAAAUUUUGCUUGUUUUUAAGGUUUUUACACCCUUUUCCAAAUUUCCCUAUAAGAAUAUUGUACCAUUACUUGAGUGUAAGUCUUCAUGUCCUAAUGAUAAUUCCGCUCAUGCUGGACCCGGAGUGCAACAAACCACACAGACUCGUUUACUUUGUCAAUUGACUGACUUCGUCUUUGUGGUUUUUACUUCUCAUUAUCUUGGAUACAUUAAGAACUUGCAGAAAAAUGGAGAUAACUUAUCCUUUCCUACAUUUAACCAAUAUUCUCUCAGUGCCAAACUUGUAUUCAGGCUGGGGGCUCAGCACAGCAGUGAACAGGACCUAGACUCUGUCCUCAAAGAGCCUGCAGCCUAACAGUAUUAAUUAGGACCAGAAUUUCACAGAAGUAAUAACCAAUUUGUGCAUACUAAUUUUGAGAUCCCUCAUGAUGUGUGUUACUCAUUUAAAUUAUGCAACAGUGAUAUCUGUAUUACUAUCCCCAUUUUACGGAUGAAGACAUCACAGUAGAAAGAUACCAGCUGAAAUCUUAUGUAACUAACACACAGCAGAGUAGCAACUCUAAAUCUCUUGCUUCUUCCAUUACACCCCUAACAGAGCAGAGGGGAAAGAAAGUAUGAUGUUAAGGACAUUGGAACGGCCUGCUGACCCAAAGUUCUUUGUCUCACUGUCUGUCUUCUCUGAAAAUCUUUCAUGCCUUCCUUUAUGGUAAACCUCUUGAGAUGUACCUCUUUUUAAGAGGUUGGUGUUAAGAAGGAUUUUCUGUGUGAGAUUUUGGAGUGUGAUGCUUGAGGG
ensembl:lncRNA